UCCUCCCUCAAACCUCUUGGGGUUUGGUGUUGGACCAGGCGGGGUGUUUGGCCCCUCCGGUCUCAAAGACAAUGACGGCGUCCGUGGGACCCUCGGUGCAACGAGCUUUUCGAAGCACGCGUCGAGUGCCUGUCCCCUCCGGGCCGGUCCAGCCUUUUUUAAUCUUUCUA
rnacentral:misc_RNA from 1 species